CAGGGCUCAGAGAGAGGUCAGCUGGAGACCACACUCUUCUUCCUUCUGAGGGAAAGAGAUGGGAUUCCCCACUUCUGAGAAUCUCAGAAGAUGUCCUCUGGUCUUCCAGGAAAAGAAAACAAGGCUUCAAGAACCGAGAUGGCCCACUUGCCACACACUUGUCGCACACAAUGAUGGAACAAAAUCCAAGCAAACUUUUCUUGGCUCUCUGUCCUGUUUCCUCGCUAUGACGACCUGUACACAAUGAAUUUUCUGAAUGUCCACUCA